rnacentral:lncRNA from 1 species
UUUAGAUAGUCUUAUAUAUAAAAUAAUUAGAAUUUUGAAUGUAUACAUGAGGGUUUGGAUGGGGUUAAAUGAUUAAAGAAUAAUGCCCUUAAAAAAUGAAGAUUAAGAGAAUAACGGGCAAAAAAAAUGAAAAUUAGAGAAAAAAGGGGUUAAUUUUUUGAAGAUUAGAGAAAAAAGGUGUUAAUUUUUUAAAGAUUAGAGAAAAAAAGGGGUGAAAAUUAAAUGUUUACAGAAUAACAGAGACCCCCCCCCCCCCCCCAAAUCCAGACCCUCAUACAUACAUGUACAUAUAGAACAUCAUUUUUUUUCUCAAAA